GCCUAUUGACUUUAGAAGUUUCUUACAAAGAACAGCAGUUUGCUACAAAUUUGUUACUGAAAGGUUGUGCUUUUGUGUGUGGUCAUUCCUGAGUGUGUGUUUGGUCACAUAAACGCUGUCAAAUUUACACAUUUUUCCUUAUGGUUUCCAUCUUCAGAGCCAAGUUUAGACGAGCUUACAGGCAGCUGUUAUUAUCCACAACCCCCUAUUCUGCUAUCUCCUGAAAUAAAUACAAUUAAAUCACUCAAUGACAAUCAAGAAUCAGUUCCCUUUUUCCUUCUGACACUAUGACAAGAAUCCACACCAGAACCUUUCUGCACUGAGCAUGUAUUUACUGAAAAAUAAAUCUUUUUUAACACUAAUAAAUUCAGUAAGAAAAGCCCAUAGAUAAAUUCAGAAUACUUACUUUUAAAAGCUCUGGGCAACUUAAAUAGCUUUUUAAAAUCAUUAAAUAGCAUUCUCCUCUUAGUUCAGUGACUAUGCUUUUCUUAAAAACCUUUAUCUGGAAUUGUCAGGAAAAUGCCCCAUCUACAAAUUCCCAAACUAGAUAUUUCACAAUUUCAUUAUCAGGAUUCCCAUUGCUUAAUCCUUCUCAAUUCCUUUAAUCCAUUAGACUCUUUAUAACCUGUGAUCCCUAUUGAGACUGGAUCCGAUAUUGCUCUCAAUAUUCAAGACUCUAAAAUCACACUGACCCUCACAAAUAGCUAACAUUUUCUGAACACCUAUUAUGCACCAGGCCCCACUGAAUUUUGUAUGUUGUACUUCGCCCACUGCAGAUGCACCCCUUGCCUCCACCCAAACCAGGAAACUCACCAUCAGUGGCAUGUUGUGCCUAGCUGAUGGUUUUUCCCUUCAUAGUACGUGAAAUAAUGUCUUACAAUUAGCAGUGCUUUAGAUUAGAUGAAAUAUGGAAGGACAACUCAUUCCAUCUUACUAUCAACCCUGCGGCUGAUAUACUGUUAUGUCUCUUUUUCAGGUGAGGAAAAUGUUGGAGUUCCCGCUGUGGCAGUGGGUUAAAGGAUCCAGCAUUGCCACAGGUGUGGUGUAGGUCGCAGGUGUGGUGUAGAUUGCAGCUGUGGCUCGGAUUCAAUCCCUGGCCUGGGAACUUCCAUAUGUGGUGUACAACCUGACUCUAGAUCCUCACUUUUCAACCUAUUCACUAUCCCGAGGCCAGAAUCACUCUGCCAACAUUCCUCUCCAAUCCUCCUUGCAGGCCACUAAAUUACACUAAAAAAGCAACAAUUACUAGUCCACUCUACAGCCACAUCAAACCUCGCCCCGGGCUUUCCCCAGACUAUUCACUUGAACUCUCCAUGGAUUUCCUGGAACGCUGCUUAGAUGGGUCUUCCAAAAUGUCUCCAUUACCCUUAAGCUUCUAAUACCAUUUUCUGAUCCCUCCAGCUCACUAACCCCACGAAGGGACUGACUUGCCUCCUACACUACUGGGAAAACCAGAGCAAGCCAACGUGAGUGCUGCCAUGGGCUUGCCCCUCUCCCCUGGACCCCUUUCUGCCUCUUUCUCAAUCUUCCUCAACAGGACUAAUACUCAUCACCCCAACGCCAUCGUCUCUGAAUGCUCUCUGUACGUGAACUUCUUUCUUCCCACCUUCAAAUACGAUGUACCAUCUAUUUUGAAGCAGAAGUCACUCAAGGGCCUGGAAGACUCUAUUUCUCAUCUCUUAACAUACUCAGUCUCUUCACCUCAAUUGCAAUCACUCGAGUACCCUGACUUUUUCUCCUGCACCCGAAACUGGACAACGUUUCCCUCUGAACCCUCCUCGGGAAUCUCUCGUCCCUCCGCUUCCUGGUUUACCUGUUCCUGCUUUCUUCCAGUUCCUUCUUUAUAAAUGUCUAUUUCAAACAUGCCUCUCCCUCCUACUGAUUCCUAACUGAGGGCAUCAAUGCAAGGUUCAACCCACCGGCUGUUUCUGUUUAUGAUCCUCUCCAGCAUAUUCCACUACUGGGAAUCUACACAUAUACGUAAAGCUCUGAGCCUUUCCAUAGGCUUUAGCUUAGCCAUGUAUCCCGAACCUGCCUGCAGAAUACGUAGAUACCCCACUUUAAAUUCAGCCUGUCAACUCUAAUUUAUCAUUCACACAAUCUUUAUUCCUUCCACAACCAGUUCUUUCCUAUUCUUAAGUAAAGGCUGUAUUAAUUUUCCAACCACUCAGGUUGGAAACCUCAAAAAUAAUCUGACAGUCGUCUUGCCCAUUAUUCUAUAGUCAAACAACCACAAGGUGUUUAUUCAUUCACAGAAUCCAUCCCAUUUUGAAUCUUUUGAAUCUCUUGGCAGAUGACGGGUUAACCCAUCUGACCUAAACUGCAUGUUCAAACAUCUUCAGUGCCUUCCCAAUGCUUCCUCAUUCUGGCACACUGAGGUCCUCAAAUCCUCAUUCGACUUUACCUUCCUGAACACCUUUCCCACCUCAGCACAGGGGACCCCAUCAGGAAUACCCCUCUGCAGUCAGGCAGAGCUGCGUUCUAGCUUCCAAAUCUGUGCUGUCCACUAUGACAGUUCAUUGGUUAAAUAGGUGGCUAUUUCAAAAGAAAUGAAGGAAAGUUAAAAAUGCAGUUCUCAGUUGCACUAGGCACAUUUUAAACGCUCAAUAGCCCCUUGUAGCUAGUGGCUAUAGUACUGGACAUGCAGUUACAGAAUAUUCCCAUCACUGCAAAAAGUCCCACCAGACAGCACUGCUCCCCAGCUACUUUACCCAAAAGCCUCUUCAUUCUACUGAAUCAAACUCACAGGUCCUUCCACCCCAUGAGGGGCCUUGCCAGAGGUGUUUGUACAACUUACUCCUAUAUUACCUUGCAACAACUCUUGCCAUGUUGCAUUUACUUUUUCAUUUUGUGUGUCUUCUCACGAAUUACUGAGCCACUGUGAACCAAUACAGAUUCACUAAAUGAACCAUAUGCUCAUUACAAUACUUCAUCAAAAUGAUCAAAUAAGGAGAUAUUUAAUGCCCCUCUCCUCCAUUAAGACGUGUUUUCUUUCAGCCUAAACAAACAAAAGACCUUGCAUUUAGCUAACUAAAUAAUGACUUAAUUUAAUGCCUAAUUAUAAUUCUCGAAAGAUAAUUAGUUCCUUUUUUUCCUGUGGCAUUAAAAAAAAAAAAAAACUAUAAAGGUCUGAAAUACUUCCACUUUGCAUAAGCAAACCACAAAGAAACCACAAGAGAAAGACAAGGAGAGGAAAAUGAAUGAAUAGUUUGUGUAAAUAUACCCCCUCUGAGAUUGUAGGAAAAAAAUAUAGUACUGCUGCCCUAAAAUUAAGGGGAAACUACAAAUAAAGCAUUAAAAAAUUACGUGUAAAAAAAUAUUUUUGAAUCAAAAGCUAGAUCCCUCUAUCCUCCCUCUCAAACAUAACAUAGUGAAUAUUUAUUUUCAUUGUGUGUUCAAAAGCAUAUAGAUGCAUAAUUAACUGUUUUGUGUAUGCUGUGUUCCUUGAAAUUCAGACAUGUCCGCCUUAAGAAAAUUAGUUAAGAAAUCAAUCCACCACGCCAGAAGACCAGGCUCUAUAUAAGGCUCCUAUUUGAACACUACGAACUGAGCAGAGAUUUGGGAGAAUUGCCAAGUAAGAAUUCUCUCAAACUUCAGAGGGCUUGAUGCUUUAUCUUCAAGAGGGAGUCUUCCCCAAAGUUCUGAUUUUAGCUUAUUAAAACAAUCACAAAAAGAAGUUCCCAUUAUGGCUUAGUGGGUUAAGGACCCGAUGUUCUCUGUGAGGAUGUGGGUUUGAUCCCUACCCUUGCUCAGUGGGUUAAGGAUCCGGCAUUGGACAAGCUGCAGCAUAGGUCGCAGAUGCAGCUCAGAUCCAGUGUGGUCCUGGCUAGAGGCCCCAGUUGUAGCUCUGAUUUGAUCCCUAGCCCAGAAACUUCCAUAUGCCACAGGUGUGGCCGUAAAAAGGAAAAAAAUAAAAAAUAAAUCACUAAGAUGUUAAACUGCUCAACUACUGCAGAUCCCAGUAUCUGCAUAAAAAUAAGAUGCAGUCACUGGAGGUGAAUUGUUUAUGAAAGUUUUGUCUUUUCCUCUCUGAAAGAUAGCUUUCCUGAUGCAAAUUAAUGCUCUAUGGGGCCCACUCAUGUCUGCAAGUCUGCCAGCAAUAGCUGUAAAUGUUCCUUUUUUGUCUGACCAGUAGUAUCUCUAAAACUGACACCAACUUAAAAAUGAACACCAAGGUGAAGAUUUUGACUUUGAUUUAAGUACAUUCAUAUGGCUUCAUUUAGCUGUUUGUUUGUUUGUUUGUUUGUUUUAAGGUAGUAACUCCAGAGGAAAUACUAAAAAUACUUCAGGUAGGAGUUCCUAUUGUGACACAGCAGAAAUGAAUCCGACUAGUAGCCAUGAGUACACAGGUUUGAUCCCUGGCCUCACUCAGUGGACUAAGGAUCUGGUGCUGCCGUGAGCUAUAGUGUAGGUCACAGACUUGGCUCAGAUCUAGCGUUGCUGUGGCUGUGGUGUAGGCCGGUAGCUGUAACUCCAAUUAGACCCCUCGCCUGGAAACCACUAUAUGCUGCAGGUGCAGCCCUAAAAAGCCAAAAAAAAAAAAAAAAAAAAAAAA
rnacentral:lncRNA from 1 species